GGACGGUUAGCUCAGUUGGUUAGAGCGCUUCGUUGACAUCGAAGAGGUCACAGGUUCGAGUCCUGUAUCGUCCAC
rnacentral:tRNA from 15 species